rnacentral:rRNA from 1 species
UACGUAGGCAGCGAGCGUUGUUCGGAGUUACUGGGCGUAAAGCGUGCGUAGGCGGUUUUCCAAGUCUGGUGUGAAAUCUCCCGGCUCAACCGGGAGGGUGCGCUAGAAACUGGGAGGCUGGAGUGCGGGAGAGGUAGGCGGAAUUCCUGGUGUAGCGGUGAAAUGCGUAGAUAUCAGGAGGAACACCGGUGGUGUAGACGGCUUACUGGACCGCGACUGACGCUGAGGCACGAAAGCGUGGGGAGCAAACAGG